CACUGACGUCGCGACGCAUAUCAAUAAGCGGAGGAAAAGAAACUAACAAGGAUUCCCCUAGUAACGGCGAGUGAAGCGGGAAGAGCUCAAAUUUGAAAUCUUCAAGGUUCUACCUUGACGAAUUGUAGUUUAUAGAAGUGUCUUCUGUUAGUGGAGUGGCAAAAGUUCUUUGGAAUAGGACAUCAUAGAGGGUGAGAAUCCCGUAUUUGGUCAUUCCUCCUAGCGUUGUGAUACACUUUCGACGAGUCGGAUUGUUUGGGAAUGCAGUCCAAAAUGGGUGGUAAAUUUCAUCUAAAGCUAAAUAUUGGCGAGAGACCGAUAGCGAACAAGUACCGUGAGAGAAAGAUGAAAAGAACUUUGAAAAGAGAGUUAAACAGUACGUGAAAUUGUCAAAAGGGAAGCGUUUGACACCAGUGUUGUUUAGUUGAAAAUCAAUUAAAUAUUUUUCGAUUUUAAGUAGUAUUGACCUUAUUAGCUUGCUGCUUUUUUCUCGGAAAUUAUUUAAUGCACUUUUCAGUUAACAAGUCAACAUCAAUUUCUUUUGUUGUAAAAAGGUAAGAGGAAGGUGGCUUGCGCUUCGGCUCAAGUGUUUAUAGCCUUUUACUUCCUGCAAUCGGAGAGAUUGAGGUCUGCAGCGUAGAUCCUUCGGGGUUAGAUACAGUUUGUGCUAAGCUAUAGUUCUUGUAUAGACAACUUGUUGACUAUGAUCAGUCCUGUAGCUUACUCGCUUAUGCUAUUUUACCUACGCUUAGGAUGUUGAGCGCAUGUCUCUCUCU
rnacentral:rRNA from 1 species